rnacentral:rRNA from 1 species
GUGAGGAAUUUUCCGCAAUGGGCGAAAGCCUGACGGAGCAAUGCCGCGUGAAGGAUGAAGGCCUAUGGGUUGUAAACUUCUUUUCUCAGAAAAGAAUUAUGACGGUAUCUGAGGAAUAAGCAUCGGCUAACUCUGUGCCAGCAGCCGCGGUAAGACAGAGGAUGCAAGCGUUAUACGGAAUGAUUGGGCGUAAAGCGUCUGUAGGUUGUUUACAAAGUAUUCUGUCAAAGAUUAGGGCUUAACCCUAGAUAGGCAGAAUAAACUUUUAAGCUAGAGUUUGGUAGAGGCAGGGGGAAUUCCCGGUGGAGCGGUGAAAUGCGUAGAUAUCGGGAGGAACACCAAAGGCGAAGGCACUCUGCUGGGCCAAUACUAACACUGAGAGACGAAAGCGAGGGGAGCAAAUGGGAUUAGAUACCCUAGUAGUCC